rnacentral:rRNA from 1 species
CGAACGGUGGCGGUGUGCUUACUACAUGCAAGUCGAGCGGGCUCCAGGGCUUGCCCUGGGGUUUAGCGGCGAACGGGUGAGUAAAGUAUAGAUAACCUGCCUUCGAGAGGGGGAUAACGCUCCGAAAGGGGUGCUAAUACCGCAUGAAGUUAUCUGAUCGCUUGAUCGGAUAAUGAAAGUGGGGGAGCCUUCGGGUCCUCACACUCGGAGAGGGGUUUAUAUCCUAUUAGCUAGUUGGUAGGGUAAAAGCCUACCAAGGCAAUGAUGGGUAGCCGGCCUGAGAGGGUGAUCGGCCACAUGGGCACUGAGACACGGGCCCGACUCCUACGGGAGGCAGCAGUAGGGAAUAUUGGGCAAUGGGCGAAAGCCUGACCCAGCGACACCGCGUGAGUGAAGAAGGCUUUCGGGUUGUAAAGCUCUAACACAUAUUAAGAAAGCAUGCGUGCGAAUAGUGCGUAUGUCUGACAAAGGUAUGAGAUGAAGCCAUGGCUAACUCU